rnacentral:rRNA from 1 species
UGGUGGAGUGAUUUGUCUGGUUAAUUCCGUUAACGAACGAGACCUCAGCCUGCUAAAUAGUCCCGCGAAUUCUGAAUUCGCGGCGGACUUCUUAGAGGGACUAUUGGUGUUUAACCAAUGGAAGUUUGAGGCAAUAACA